rnacentral:rRNA from 1 species
CAAUAGCGUAUAUUAAAGUUGUUGCAGUUAAAAAGCUCGUAGUUGGAUUUCGGGGCAGCCUGGCUGGUCCGCCGCAAGGCGAGUACUGGUCAGCCGCCCUUCCUCUCGAAAGCCCCGACUGCUCUUUAUUGCAGUGGUCGGGUAGUUCGGGACGUUUACUUUGAAAAAAUUAGAGUGUUCAAGGCAGGCCUACGCCUGAAUACAUUAGCAUGGAAUAAUGGAAGAGGACCUCGGUCCUAUUUUGCUGGUUUCCAGGACCGAAGUAAUGAUUAAGAGGGACAGUUGGGGGCAUUCGUAUUUAAUUGUCAGAGGUGAAAUUCUCGGAUUUAUGAAAGACGAACAACUGCGAAAGCAUUUGCCAAGGAUGUUUUCAUUAA